GACACGGGGCUCCACUGAAGCUUGGUUUCCUAGUAAAGUACAGAUUUCUUUUUCCAAAAAUUUGCAUUAAUUAAUUUUGCCACCUUCGAAUUAUUUCCAGUCCUGUGCACACUUGUGAAAAUGUAAACACACCGAUGGUGAGUUAAGAAGUUUAGUCACACUCUGGUAUCCACUCCAGUCACCUAACGAAGGAGUCGACAGCAGCACUGGAGAGUAUGUGAGCCUCGAGUGUCGGAACUGGUCUCAAGCCACAUCACUGCCCCGCCAGCAGAGACCGUUGUAAUCUCGGGCGUCCCAGUCCUGCUGUUAUUUCCUGUUGGUCACAUCCGGGUCGUCCUCUCAUCGCCGGUUGAACAGAGAAAAUAGAAGCAGCCACGCACGCGCGGUGCAGCAGCAUUCGUACUUCUCUCAUCCGCUGUGUAAAUGUUUUGAGAGUUGCACGAGCAGCAUCCGUGUUCUGUGUUAUGUUGCAUGGAAUUCCUUGCAGUCGAAGAAAUUCGCUUCUUAAGUGCCAGCAGUGUGUUGCGGCCCCUGGCCCUGAAAACAUUUUGGACACAUUUGUAUCUGCUGUCACAGUUGCCACAGAGGAAAGAAAGACUAAAGCUGAAUUUAUCAGCUGCAAUCUGCUCCAAGAUGGACCGUCGGGUGCUGGGUGGUCUUCGCGGGGUUUGGUAGAAUCCAUUCUGUCGCUUCAGCCUCUCCAACCUCGCCUUGUCCUGGCGCUGGAAGAACCCCACCUGUAGA